AACGGCCGCGGUAUCCUAACCGUGCAAAGGUAGCAUAAUCAUUUGCCUAUUAAUUGUAGGCUAGAAUGAACGGGUUAACGAAAUAAAGACUGUCUCAAUUAAUUACCUAAAAAUUAUUUUCUAUCUGAAGAAAGGUAGAUAAUCUCGAAGGACAAGAAGACCCUAUAGAGCUUAAUUUUAAUUAUAGAACUAAACUAUAAAAAUAUUCGGUUGGGGCGACCCUGGGCUAAAUAAUCACCCACUAAAUAAAAGAUAAAUAAAUCUAAUAAAUGACCCUAUAAAGAUCAUAAAAACAAGCUACCUUAGGGAUAACAGGCUAAUCCCACUUAAGAGUCCUUAUCAACAGUGGGGUUUGGCACCUCGAUGUUGGCUUAGG
rnacentral:rRNA from 1 species